CUAAAUUAGUCAUGGGGUAGGUGGAAAUGUCACCUCUGGGAGCUCAGGGGCAGGCACAGAGCUGGGCGAGGGUGGAAUUGUCUUUCUUUCCCUGUCCCUUGAAGGCAGACAAGCUGCUCUCUCUUCACCUUCCUCUUCUUUUUUUCCCCCCAAUUCCUCUUUGAUUCUCUAAAAUGCAUCCAGAAAUGCCACGGGAAGGGAUUUUUUUGUGUUUGUUCCUUUCAACUUCUGAUAGGGAAGGCAGGGGAGCAAAUUUAUGAUCACUUUUUCACUUCUUUUUACUGAAGCUGUUCAGAGAAAGGAAUAUGCAGAGGCUGAUGAGUGAAUCCACUUGGACCAUGAUCUUUUGAACAUUUAGGAGGAACUUUUUGAACCCUGGGCUCAUUCCUCCUUCACAAAGUCAUACCAUGACAUUAGCUUCCAGCUCCAGUUCACUCAUGUAAAGUAGAGCUUUUUAAGGUCUGAAGAAGGGUUUUUUGGGCUCAAACUCUUGUUUGUCUCCCCUCAUCUAUGUCCGUUGAUCUAAUAAAAGAUGUUGCUUUUUUUCUGCAAAGCUGUUUUAUGCUCAUCAGCUGUAAAGUCAAGGCUCAGUGCUUGGAUAAAAUGAGCUGAUCAUGAAUAAACACGGACUGCAAAUUAGAAGAUUAUUAACUGUUAGAGGUGUAAGGUUCUGCAAAUCUUGCAGUGAAGAUUUUGAAGGCAAGAAAAUUGGUUUUAAGAUAAAACCUGGUAAAUUUUUGAGUGGGAUUAUAACAAAUGGUCUUUUCCUGUUCAUUUUCUGUGUGUCUAACAAACAGAUCUCAGCUAGUGUUUGUCACUGUAAUGAUUAUUUAUGGUCAACGUGAGGACACUAAUUGAUUAUUCCUGAAGAUACCCCUUGCAAAGUCGACUUUCACCACAAUUUCCAAAACACCUCCAUGCAAAGAUUGCUCCAGAGACAUUGGGAGCUGGAAUUCUUGAAAAGGAAGGAGUCUUGACUCGGGGAAAUCACAGCCCAGCAGCUGCUUGUCACUUUAAGCACAGCAUUUGCAGUGGGGAGUCACCCAGCCAGCCCCUCAGCUGCUGCCAGUUGUCCUGGCCACUGGAGCAGGGCUAAUUUACACCUGCUGCAAAUUUAACCUAAGAUAAGUUCUCUGCUCAAAUUUUUCAUGCCCCUUUCUUGUGUUUCUCUUCUCUCCCUCAGCUAGGAAAGCAUCUUGGUUAAGAAACCAGCCACUGUGUUUAUUUUACUGUUUGCUUUACCACAUUUGGCUUUAUGUCUAGGUGAAAACUGGGAGACUUGGAAUAAAAAUUAGGAAGGGACAGUGGUGUCAGCUCUGGCCUAGUCCUCUAUAUCACAGUCAUGCUCAUCCAAGUGUUGGAAUGUGCCCUCCUCAAGGUGAGUGAAAAUUGUCUUCUGCCAUGUUGGAUUUCCUAAUCUGAAUGUGCUUCAGAAAUACAGGCUGGGGUUUUGUGUUGAAAAAAGGCAGUAUUUAGCCUCAGAUGUCUCAAAAUACAGGGAGCAAGUAAGAAAUAAUUCUGGCAGUAACAGAAUUUUUAGUGUUUGGCUGAGUUGGUUUGGAUCAGUGAAUUCCAGAACAGUCAAGCCCCCCUAUCUUUAUAAAGAAUAUAAAACCUGUGUGUUUUUAUUCUGAGAACCAGAGGAAUGAAGGACAGAAAGCAUUUUUUUCUUUGUUUGGUUAUGUUUUUUUCAUUGCUUUAUUUUUGAGCUUAAGGUUACAAAUCUCAUUCAUGGAGCCCUCAGUGUAAAAGCUCAACCUUUCCUUCCUGGCCCCUCAGUUCUCCUGUGGAUGUGUCUGCCUUGAGUUUCUUUUUUUUCUAACACCCUUCUUCCUACUCAUCCCCCAAACACCCAGUGAAAUUGUAUUCACCCACAUAACUCAAAUUCUGGGAUUCCUGAAGCCUCAGCCUGGCUGUUCCUUUAGGUGCUGCCAUUUCCCUGCCUGUAUUUGGAGAUCUCCAGCAUUUCAGCUGUCUGCUCCCCUAAGAAAAAAAAUAGUCUGUCUGAAACAAAGGGUGGCAGUUACACUUCCCAGCUACAACAAACUUUACCCAACCUGUAAAAAUACCUCUAUGCAAAUGCCAAGUGUUCAUAAAUGCUUUUUUUAGCAAGUUAUGUUAGCUGCAUUUCUCAGUGACUUAUGUGUUGGUCAUCUGAAACUUCCUUUUUUUGUGCCUGUUUAUCCUGCAGAUACGUUAUCUGCUUGACACUUCACUAAUACAAAUGCCAUUCAAGAGUGUGUUUCAAUCCAGGACAGAAAGUGUUCCCUCUCUUUACAUUAUUUUUAGAAUACUAAUGUUUACUAAAAGUUAAAUAUUCAUCUUCUUUGUGAAAACGAAGCUCAAUUUGGCAGAAGCCAGUUUAAUAUUUGUGGAGCCAUCAUGAUAUCAUUUCCAUCUGCUAGUUUACAUUCUGUGAGUGCCCUGACCUUUCUGUUGCACAAUGUGACUCAUUUAUUCUACAGCUUUAAUUCAGAAUUUCAAUCCUGCACUCAUCAUAAGACAUUGUUUGUGGUUUGAGCAGGGUUAUGCCAAGGUUCCUUCCACUAGAGACUUGGAGGAGGGGGCUGGAUGAGGCAGCCUCCCAGCUAGGGAGGAACAGGCAGAGGAAUGAGAGUAAUUUUCACUGGUGAAUUUUGAAAUGAUGGGUUUAGUUCUUCUUUCCAGAGCGUUGUGUUAGUUGAGUUGCUAAGAGAGCCCUUCUCUGAGGCCUUGGAGGCUGCUGGUGUCUUGACAAUGCAGGGCCUGUCACACCUCUCUGGAGAGAGACUUUGGUUUUAAACAAAAACAAAGGAGAGAACAUCAGCAGAACAUUCCUCACUGAUGACCUGCAAGUAACCAGGACAGCUAAAAGGAAGGAAAACUGGGCUAGGAGAACAAUGAGCUUAAAUACUGGAAUGAUGUCCCAGUGAUAUGCAGGAUGGCUGUAAGCCAGGAGCUGCCACCUUUGGUGGUGACAUUUUCUGAUCCCACAGCUGCAGUUGGUGGCAGAGGGUCUGCAGUCCCCUGGGAGCAAGUGACAAACAUGUCACCCUCUGAGAACUUAAGGUGGGACUGGGGAGAAGCAGCUGUGCAGGCAAGAAAAACACAGGUGAAAAGAUUUCAGUACAUUAUGACUUGGGGGAUGUGGGAUUAACCCAGAGAAAAUAUUCUAGAGGGAAGGAAAUGAAUGAAAGGACAAGAGGGUGAGUGUAAAAGGGACAGGUUUAGAGGUAAUCUGAAGUGAGGACUAUGAGGGAAGGGAAAACUGGAGCCCAAAGGCAGCCAGCUCAUUGCUGAAGAAGUCCAGUCAGGGACAGAGAAAUUCUUCUACAUUCUCAGUUCCCAAAGUAUCAGGUUCUGCAGUUGUUUCCCUCCCCAUGCUGCACUUCCCAAGCUUUUCCUGCUUGGAGCCCUCUGGAGCUGUUGACCAUGAUGCUUCAAGAAAGGAUCCUCCUUAGAUUUCAGUGGCCUGCAUGAGGAAUUUGUUUCAUGGGAUUAGUGGACAUAGAAGCAAAAAUGAGUCAGAUAUGCAAGAAAUGCUUCUGUUUUGUAUCUGUGUGGUGCCAGGUGACAAUGGCAGUAAUUCCAGGGAUGCAUUCUUAAACAGAUGCCAAACAUUUCUAGCAUCAUUUGCCAGCUGACAUAUCUUUGUAGAUACAUGACAUUAAAUUAAUCCUGACCUGUGUGUUGCUGUAAGUUGUAUAGUAAGUAGUAACUAAUUGGAAGCAUUUUUAAAAGGUAAUAGAAUCCCAGUUUUUAACUCUCAGGUUUAUUUUCUAGGGGAGAUGAUGUCUCAUCUUGCUCCCCACCCAGCUGAAUCUUUUGGCUGAUGUAGAUCCUACUGAUGGAUGAGUAGAGAGGAAGCAAAAUGUGAAGAUAGUCUGGAAAGUGAAGAAGGGUGGAGAAUGACUAAGGCAUGAAAUCUGUGUUGAAGCUUUUUGCAGCAAACAGGCAGUGAAGAAGCUGAGCUGUGAGGCAUGUUGUCAAUGUCUGAUGAUUCAUCAAACACCCAAAAUAUUCUGACAGUGUUUCAGGUACAUUUGACAGACUCUUCACAACCAGUCAGAAUUGGUAAUACACAGACAACAGAGGGAAGUUUUUUCCUUUUCUUGCUUGUUAGAAGCUCAUCCCUGCUCCAGUCUGAGGUUGGUGGGGCUAAGUCAGCUCACAGGGCUUGGGGCUUCCCUGUGCUGUGGCCCUUGCUGCCCUGGCAUCCAUGGAAUCCCCAGGCUGCAAUCCUCCCACUCCACCUGCUUCUUGGAGAAACUCUCUCUCCCAACUGGAUUUCAUGAGGGGAAGCAGAGAAGCCCUUUGUGGUGGGAUAGCUGAUAAAAGGUGCAUUGAGAGAGCAAAUAAUUCAGCUGGGGGUAUGGGGAGGAGAAUGAAAGGCAACCACGGGGUCCCUGGUUUUCUCUUUAGCUUUUGUGUGUUGUUUGUCACCUCCAUGGGGUGCAUUUCUGGGUAAACUCUCUCUUUUAAACAUUUCUGCCAGUUCUAAAUGUUACCAAAGGUUUCUCAGCCCUUUUCUGCAUCCUUUAGCAUUCCUUCCUGACCCUUCCUUGCUGUUUCCACCUGCACCAUCCCAAUUCCUGCAUGACUGGUUCCUGUGAGAUGCUUCAGUUCCUGUCAGAACAUGGUGGUGUCAUUCCUCCCUGUGUCACUCAGACAUCCAGUUCAGGACUUCAGCCUUGGAGCCUCAGCCUUGAAAGCCACUUGCCAUGGAGUUCACAGUGGUCCCUUGUCCUCUGAGUUGUUUUGGCUUCAAUUUGGGUUAUUUGAAGUUCUGUUUUAAAGAAACUAAGAAUAUAAGUUCAGAUUUUCACGUGGGAUAUGUCUAGUGUGUACUUUAAGAUAGACUCUUCCUUCUCAUAACACUCAAGAAAAAUCAGUUGCUUAUCCAUAUCUAAUAACUUAUCCAUAUCUAAUAACUUAUCCAUAUCUAAUAACUUAUCCAUAUCUAAUAACUUAUCCAUAUCUAAUAACUUAUCCAUAUCUAAUAACUUAUCCAUAUCUAAUAACUUAUCCAUAUCUAAUAACUUAUCCAUAUCUAAUAACUUAUCCAUAUCUAAUAACUUAUCCAUAUCUAAUAACUUAUCCAUAUCUAAUAACUUAUCCAUAUCUAAUAACUUAUCCAUAUCUAAUAACUUAUCCAUAUCUAAUAACUUAUCCAUAUCUAAUAACUUAUCCAUAUCUAAUAACUUAUCCAUAUCUAAUAACUUAUCCACAUAUAAUCUUGGCAUAAAAAACAACUGAGUACACUCAGCAGGGUUUUCAGGGCUAAUACUUUGAAUAUAUUUUGAAAAGGAAAUGCUGGAAAUAGCAGAUAAGUUAAUAAAUGCACUUUUAUUCUU